AUUUAUUAUCAAGAAUCUCAAGAACGGAGAUAGCAACCUGCAUUAACGAGCAAGGUGCUAAAGAGAUAAGCCAAUUAGUUGGAACCAAUGUUAGCCCA
rnacentral:ncRNA from 1 species